GGUAUAGACCCGAAACCCGGUGAUCUAGCCAUGGGCAGGUUGAAGGUUGGGUAACACUAACUGGAGGACCGAACCGACUAAUGUUGAAAAAUUAGCGGAUGACUUGUGGCUGGGGGUGAAAGGCCAAUCAAACCGGGAGAUAGCUGGUUCUCCCCGAAAGCUAUUUAGGUAGCGCCUCGUGAAUUCAUCUUCGGGGGUAGAGCACUGUUUCGGCUAGGGGGUCAUCCCGACUUACCAACCCGAUGCAAACUACGAAUACCGAAGAAUGUUAUCACGGGAGACACACGGCGGGUGCUAACGUCCGUCGUGAAGAGGGAAACAACCCAGACCGCCAGCUAAGGUCCCAAAGUCAUGGUUAAGUGGGAAACGAUGUGGGAAGGCACAGACAGCCAGGAUGUUGGCUUAGAAGCAGCCAUCAUUUAAAGAAAGCGUAAUAGCUCACUGGUCGAGUCGGCCUGCGCGGAAGAUGUAACGGGGCUAAACCAUGCACCGAAGCUGCGGCAGCGACGCUUAUGCGUUGUUGGGUAGGGGAGCGUUCUGUAAGCCUGCGAAGGUGGCCUGUGAGGGUUGCUGGAGGUAUCAGAAGUGCGAAUGCUGACAUAAGUAACGAUAAAGCGGGUGAAAAGCCCGCUCGCCGGAAGACCAAGGGUUCCUGUCCAACGUUAAUCGGGGCAGGGUGAGUCGACCCCUAAGGCGAGGCCGAAAGGCGUAGUCGAUGGGAAACAGGUUAAUAUUCCUGUACUUGGUGUUACUGCGAAGGGGGGACGGAGAAGGCUAUGUUAGCCGGGCGACGGUUGUCCCGGUUUAAGCAUGUAGGCUGGUUAUCCAGGCAAAUCCGGAUAAUCAAGGCUGAGGUGUGAUGACGAGGCACUACGGUGCUGAAGUAACAAAUGCCCUGCUUCCAGGAAAAGCCUCUAAGCAUCAGGUAACAUCAAAUCGUACCCCAAACCGACACAGGUGGUCAGGUAGAGAAUACCAAGGCGCUUGAGAGAACUCGGGUGAAGGAACUAGGCAAAAUGGUGCCGUAACUUCGGGAGAAGGCACGCUGGUGUGUAGGUGAAGCCCCUGCGGGUGGAGCUGAGACCAGUCGAAGAUACCAGCUGGCUGCAACUGUUUAUUAAAAACACAGCACUGUGCAAACACGAAAGUGGACGUAUACGGUGUGACGCCUG
rnacentral:rRNA from 1 species